CAGGAGGAAUUCACAACGACUAUUUCACACAGGUGGCGCUCUGUCGACGAGAGAAGCUGGCGUUUGCUUCACGAACGCGACAUUUUCUACGAUGUUGACACGUGGUGACCUUUACGGCAGCACAGAGUUUCCUGUUCAAAUUUUAGUUCCUGACGCAGACCGGAUUUCAGCUGGCACAGUGCUUUUUUUUUUCUUUCACGGGCAGCAUCUUCAUUGGGUAUUUAGCCUCGUUCUCACACUCGCCCUCGAUAUAGAGCCUCGGUGUUAGACAAACAUAUUUAGAUAACAGCACUGCUCACAGCUGUGACGUCACGGAAGAAGGACGGCAGAUCCAUACAUUCCAAUAAGAGUUGAGGGAGGCGCCUAGGGUUGCCAUUUUUCUCAAAAAGCACGGUAUAUUGUUGAUGUACUGUCGAUGACUCUGAAAAUGAUCACGACAGUUAGUGAAUGCACUAGCGGAAGUGCACCUUCUAUAGACAGGACGUGUACUCAUCUUCUAGCCCCCUUUCUCCUUUCCCCAUUGCAAGGUGACCAACCGAGCUCAGCCUGGUCAAUUUUCUUGCAUUUCCCUUACCAUUUCUCUUGUCUCCAUUUGCAACAGGCGAAGCCAUGAUGCCUUUUCUUUCCGUGUUAUACUCGUACGUCAUUGGUCUCGUGUAUGUCACCGGCGAUGCGUCCGACCAGCUUCCACGUGACUUGCUUGACGUUGGGGCGCCCAAGCUGUGCACGGCGGACGUCAUGGACAUGCUCGCGAGCUUCACAACGCCGGCAUCUGUCAACGUUGCGACGCGAAGACGGCAUCCCUUGACGACAUCCGCCAAAUGUUUGCAUGCUGAAGCUUCCACAAAAACACAGGUCCAAGGAGGCCCAGACUUUCCACCAUUCGAGCUCAAUCACGCCUCCUUCAAGCAACAUAACAAGGGGUGAUGUCAACACGUUCGUGGCUUCAGUGUUCCACCAGUCACCUCAUCUAGACGCUGGUCGGCGACCACUUAACAAAGACCACGAAGCAGCAGUGCCCACCGAGGCCCAGAUCCGCACCGAGGGCUAGAGCCGAGGUCCUUUACCAAGACACCACGGCCGAGGAACGUCGGGAAAUCUGCGGACAGCGCUCAGGGAGGAGACAAAAGGCAGACGGCAUACAAGGCGCCAGUCGCCCCACUCACACGUAGUGGCACAAUCUUGAUUUUAAAGAAACAAAUAAAAAGACAACACCCACACAAA
rnacentral:lncRNA from 1 species